CACCAGUCACUUGUAAGGCAGAGGAGAUCUUUCUAUAUAUGGACAUUUUUAAUUCAUGUAAUUUAUUAAAAACAUAACGUUUCAAAAUAUUUCAUGCAAAUUCGUUCAAUUUAGGUUAGCUAAGAAAUGCUUUCCCCUUGGUAUGCUAGCACUAUCCAGUGAGUAUAUCUACACCUCAAGGUAGUGGGUUGUCAAUUACCAACACUACAUUAUACGACAAAAUUGUUAAUGUUACCAUUUCCACGAGUUAGAUUUACUGGAUAGAACUUCACUUACCAUUUUCUUUUUCUGUUUUCCGCCACGAAAUAUCCAACUGCUCACUCUUCAUCAAGCGCCAAAAGAAAGGUCAGACUUUCGCGGUUUCUUUUUGGUGAUUGGAUGGAAACUGCAAGCACCAGAAGGAAGUAGGCGGGUGGUAAAUAAAUACUGACUGGUACACAGGAAUGUCAAUCAUUAUUCUGCGAGAAUUCAUUGGCUGUCCGCAUUUUUCCAUGGUCGAGGGAACUUCAAGUUCAGAUCGCCAAGGAGCUGUGUUUUCUCUAUCGCUCCAAGACUUUUGAAAAUGGUGUCACAUUACGAGCUUUUAAGUAGAAUACAUUUUAGACAAUCUCCCAAAGAAAAACAUAGGUUUUGCAAGUGGUUAAUGAAACAAGCUCUACUUCGAAAAUCAAUGAAUUGUCCCUCUUGCUGUCAUCUCAUGAAGUUGAGAAAGCCAUAUGGCACAAAGGAGUCAGCCUGGUGAGUAUGCCUGUACUUUUUGUUAGUCUAUAGGGGAAAACUGUUAUCAUUUAUUUUUAUGCAUUAUAUCAGGGUAAUAUGUCUAAACUGGAGCAAGUGAUGUAGGCUACUGAUGGAUUUGAUAUAUCAUAGACAAGUAUGAACAUAUUCACCAUAGGCUUUCCUUGCUUGAUAACUUUGUGUAGCUAUAUUGGCAUGGCAUGUUUUGACCACUAAUGUCUACUCAAAAAUAACCUCAAUAUUUAAUUGUCAGGAUAUGCCGAGAUUCUUGUCACAAAAGGAAAUCAGUCACCAGGUCCAUCCGAAAUGGUUCUCUGUUUGAAAAUUCUCAUGUUGGGCUGCACACAUGGAUGCAUUUCAUAUACAGGUUUGCUCAAGGUCUUCGUUUGCGGCAAGUGGACAUGCUACAGGAAGGGAUAACUGGGAGCUCUGCAAACCUGAGCAAACUUGCUGACAAGAUGCGGAGAGUUUGCAAAUCUGCGAUGAAGAGAAUGAGGAGGAGAGGCAAACAAGCUGUUGGAAGAAGAGGAGAACUCGUUAUGAUCGAUGAAAGCAAAUUUGGCCAUAAAAGAAAGUAUAACAGAGGACGGGUCUGUUACCGAAGUUCAUGGGUGUUCGGUAUGCUAGGCCUCAAGGAUGACAGAAGGAGACCCAUUCUUAAGAUUGUGCGCCACCGUUCAGCAGGCCAUCUCAUGCCCCUUAUAAAGAAGCAUGCUCGACGGGGCAGCUCCAUUAUUUCAGAUGGAUGGAGGUCUUAUCACCAUCUUCAGAAUGAAGGUUAUAAUCAUCUGACUGUGAACCAUCAGGAAUAUUUUGUCGACCCCAUUACAGGUGCACAUACACAGAACCUGGAACGUCUUUGGGGUGUUUGCAAGUCAACUAUAUGGAGACUAAGAGGGAACCGCACUCAAAAUAUGUUGAAAGAUCACUUAGAUGUAAUUGAAUGGACCUACUGGCGUGGAAACCAAUACAAAGAUGGACCACUAGGAAUGCUGUUACAUGACAUUAAGAAAAAAUAUCCUGUGAGAAAUGCAUGAGUCCUGUACUAUACUGUUCAUAAUGCGAGUUGAUACAACCAUUACAUUUUUUUUGGAUUGAUUCACUCUGGAUGUCUUCUUUACAUUUUUGGAAUUUAAAACUUUGUAGAAGGGAAGGGAACUAUAAGCAUAUUAAAGAUUUGUAUGCUAUCUCGUAUUCAUUACAUUAAUAAAAGAGAUAUUUGU
ensembl:lncRNA